rnacentral:rRNA from 1 species
GAUGAACGCUAGCGGCAGGCUUAAUACAUGCAAGUCGUGGGGCAGCAUGAAUGUAGCAAUACAAUUGUUGACGACCGGCAAACGGGUGCGGAACACGUACACAACCUUCCUACAAGUGGGGAAUAGCCCAGAGAAAUUUGGAUUAAUACCCCGUAACAUAGCGAUGUGGCAUCACAUUGCUAUCAUAGCUUCGGCGCUUGUUGAUGGGUGUGCGGCUGAUUAGAUAGUUGGCGGGGUAACGGCCCACCAAGUCUACGAUCAGUGGCUGAUGUGAGAGCAUGAUCAGCCACACGGGCACUGAGACACGGGCCCGACUCCUACGGGAGGCAGCAGUAAGGAAUAUUGGACAAUGGACGCAAGUCUGAUCCAGCCAUGCCGCGUGAAGGAUUAAGGUCCUCUGGAUUGUAAACUUCUUUUAUAAGGGACGAAAAAAGGUCUUUCUAGAUCGUCUGACGGUACCUUAUGAAUAAGCACCGGCUAACUCCGUGCCAGCAGCCGCGGUAACAC